CAAGUCCAGAGCCAAACAAAAUCCGAAGCUUCCUCAGUCUGAAAGGAAAAUUCGUGCGAAAAGGAUCCUCCGUCUCCUUUGCUAAAAGUCAGCGAAAAAAUAGUUUUUCUGUUCGAGCUCGAAAUAAGAAAAGCUAGCUCCCCCCCGCGAAAACAAAGAGAAAACUUUUGCUUCGCUUGAAAGAAAAUCUAGUGAAGAAAAAAAAACAAACUCUGUAAGCUGAGAGAACUGAACAGUUUGUGAACGCGAUAAGCAAUAAAUAGUUGCAAAAAAGCGCAAACAGCAAAAAGUACGCGAAGCAAAUUUGCUACACUUUUUCCUAAAAGCUUCAAGUGAAAAAUUCAAUAAUCAAACGGUGAAAAACUCAUCCCCCGCGCGCGCUCGUUCGAGAAAAACAAAGUUCUAGCAGCAGGAAAAGUCAGAGCGUGCAAGAGAGAGAGAGAAAGAGAGAGCGCGGAAAAAGCAGUCCAGCAGUUUUCCCCCGCGUCCGCGCAAAGUU